rnacentral:rRNA from 1 species
AUGCAGCACAGGACCACCGCGCCCUAUCCCCGCACGAGGAUUGGCUGCGCCGGCAAAUCAAGGCGUCAUAUCUUGGCCUCGCCUCCCUCGAGCGCACCAUUGCCCGACAACGUGCCCGCCUCGUCACUCUCAAGGACGGUGAUGCCAACUUCGUUCUUUCAUCGGCAAUGCACGUAUAGGCGCCAAAAGAACAGGAUCCAUAGCCUCCUUGUCGGUGAAAGCGUGGUCACCGACCCCGCGGAGAUGGCCGCGGCUGCCUACGCCCACUUCGACGUGCUUUUGGGCACGGAGGCGCCCCGGGACUGCGCGCUCGACCUCACGGACCUCAUCACCCCCGCCAAUCUGGAGGACCUGGAUGCCCCGUUCGACGCCGAGGAGAUCUGGCAGGCGGUCAAACGGCUCCCCGCGUGCAAAGCCCCGGGCCCCGACGGCUUCACGGCUGAAUUCUUACGCGCAUGCUGGCCCACCGUUCGGCAGGACUUCGUCGACGUCUUCUGUCAGCUCUACGCGCUGCGAGGCCGCGGCUUCAGCUGCCUCAACCAGGCGCUUCUCACCUUGCUGCCCAAGCGUGCCGACGCCCACGCCCUCGGCGACUUCAGGCCCAUUAGCCUCAUUCACUUGGUCGCCAAGAUCUUCGCCAAAGUCCUGUCGCUGCGCCUCGCGCCCAAACUCAACACUCUUGUCAGCACAAGCCAGAACGCCUUCAUCCCCGGACGCAGUCUGCAUGACAAUUUCAUCCUCGUCCGGCAGUCGGCUCAUCUGCUGCACCAGCUCGGCGCCCCACGCGCGCUCCUGAAGCUUGACCUGGCGCGCGCCUUCGACUCGGUCAGAUGGCCAUUCCUGUUCGAUGCCCUUAGCCGAUACGGCUUUGGUUCCAGGUUCCUCGACUGGCUUGCCAUCCUCUUCUCUUCGGCAAGCACCAGAGUGCUUAUUAACGGAGAGCCAGGCCCUGCUAUCUGCACCGAUGUGGGUUCCGCCAGGGCGACCCCCUUUCGGCCCAGCUCUUCGUACUCGCCGUCGACACACUUGGACGCCUUCUCCACCGCGCAACUGAGCUGGGUAUCCUGCAACGCCUUCACCCUCGGCGACCGAUGCCAUCCGUCUCCCUCUAUGCGGAUGACAUGA